rnacentral:tRNA from 1 species
GAGAGUAUAGCUUAAGUGGUAGAGUGCAUGCUUAGCAUGCACAAGGUCCUGGGUUCAAUCCCCAGCACCUCCA